rnacentral:rRNA from 1 species
CGCGUAGGGAUUUAUCGUUGGGUGGGGGACAACCAUGGGAAACUGUGGCUAAUACCGCAUGACGCCUAUGGGCCAAAGGUCCUGCGAGGGACUGCCUGAUGAGGAGCCUGCGUCCGAUUAGUUAGUUGGUUGGGUAAUGGCUGACCAAGGCGAUGAUCGGUAGCUGGUCUGAGAGGAUGAUCAGCCACACUGGGACUGAGACACGGCCCAG